CUUCAUUUGGCUAUGGUUUGUGGUGGUAUCGGUUAUAACUACGAUCAGUGGAAUAGUAGAUUUCCUUACAGUUGCGGUGCCCGUCUUUCGGAAGCGAUAUUUCAAGCGUUAUUUGCACUUGUCAAAUGAAAUAUCCCCAUCUCCAUCAGACAACGAUAUUAGCCGAUUUGCAGGAUCAGAAAUAACAGAGGACGGUGUGUUCAUAUUGAAAGCGAUUGGGGAGGCAUCUUCUGAACACCUGGUCAGGGACGCGGUCAUCUACCUGUGGCAUUCCACACAUGAUCAACACAGCUCUGUUCCUCAGGGACCACCAGAACACGGUGGUCCUCCACCGUACUUAACCCAGGGGCCGUAUGUACCGGGUCAGACCUACGGGCCAGGAGGGACAGUAGUAUCUCCUCCUCCAACGGCUCCUCAACAGGUUAGAUACCGACCUCAGACGGGUACUGAGGCUGUCCCUUUGAUGCCCAAUCCCUAAAUGUAAUUAGUAUUUGAUAUAAUAUAGUGAUCUACAAGACGUCAAAAAUAUAUAUAAAAUACUAAAUACAUUACGAUUCAGCUAUAUUUGUAACAUUAUUUUGCCAUCGCUUGAAAUGAACCCGGUGAAGCAAAGUUGUAACCUUGAAAUUAUGGAUUUAAUGGAAUUUAUUUCUAGUUAUGUUUGACAAGAGCACAAGUUGUUGAUAAUCAGCUUGUGUCAGUAGGACAUUGUCAUCAUGUUGAGACAACCUAAAUGUGUAAAUGAAAACGCUUGUAUUCAUUGCAAUCAUGGUGUAUGGUGCAGUUAUGCUGUAUACGAACAAUUAGGCGAUACAUCAGAGGUUCCAAUCUUGUAUCAGUGCAAUUUAACUAUGGCUCCGUUAUGUGUUCAAUGCAAUUAACAAAACCAAACUUAUUCCAUUUCAACAAGUGAACAUAGAAUGAUAGAGCGUACUAGUAUUGCAAUGAUUUAUUGCAUUUUUGCCAGUGAUAUCAGAGCGAACAUUUGUAUUCACCUUAUGGAAACUUGCCGAUCUUUCUAACCGAAGCGAAGAUAAUAUUAUCUACAUUGGUUAUUUUGCUGUAUUUCUAAAAUAUUCAGAAUAGUUUUUGACAAAAUACUCACUUGACGUUAGCUAUUCAUGCACAGAAUCUCCGAUAACAGCAGAAAAAGCUUGAAUUGCGUUGGUCCUUUCAAAAUAGCGCCGUCAAGCUGACGUGGAGUAACGUCACAAAGAGAUGACGUCAUGAAUUAUGUUACCGAUUCUCGCACUUUUUGACACUGCUAUUAUUAGUUUUCCAUGUUUUUUUAUUUUGUUUUAAAGUAUAUGAAAUGCAAUAAAAAGAAAAGUGAAUGGCUUCCAGUUUAAUAUAACUCGUACGACAGAAUAUAUGUUUUCACUCGUGCUUUGAAAAUAUCGAUAUUCUGUCAUACUCGUGAAAUACAUGUACAUGUUAUAUUAAACCGGAAACCAUUCAAUAUCCUCUAUGUUUAUCGCGUGACUGCUGCAUGAAUGAAAGCUGUGAUAUUCCAUUAUGUUUGCAUGCAUGUCUAUGCAAUACGUGUAUCACUUCAGUUAAAAUAGUAAGCAAAAUAAAGUUCGAUGAUUGUCGAAAUGCCCAAUAGUUCCGUUGUCCCCAUCCUACCUCUCAUGCGAAUUUGGCUCAACCCGGAUUUGACCAAGAUUUGUAUGGCGGGUUUCGUCGAUGAAGCGAAAGACGCUUACUCUGCUUGAGCAUCGUAUUCUCUUCGGUUCUCCAAAAAAAUAUUCAUUGAUGUUUAUAUUUUUUUUUAUCGAUUUUGAAUGGGAAUUAUGGUUUCGUUAUUGUGUCGGUAUUUCUUAUUGUUUUCAUUAUGUGCACACGUCUGUUGAAAUAUGUAUAGAUAUGUAUAAUGCGAGUACAGGACUGCUGAGUGAAGUAAGCCUAUGGUAGUUCAGUCAUUUUUAUUGGAGUUUGUUUUGACCAAUAUACAUAUUGUAAAUACGUGUAUCGCGUGUUUUCUAAACAUACUUUUAUAUAAUAUAGGCCUACAUGAUAUUCAAAUAAUCAACUAUACUAGUUUAUUGAUGCGUUCAUAGAAUGUUAUGAUACAUUUUUGUCAAUAUGUAAUUACUUGUAACAUAUCUAAAACUACAUUUGUAAAGUUGUAACUUGAUUUAUAAAAUUUCGCAUUAUGAAAUAAAAAUGUCUUUGGCUUUUGGCAUGCUAUAUGUGUCCUUUACUUCAUGAAUUCUAUUUGGCCUGCAAGAGCGGUUAGAGCAAUUACGUGAUAAGUAAAAAUAAGUAACAAAUCGUACGACCUUUCACAUUUCAAGUGAUCGUAAUCAAAUUAUUUACAUAAAGAACAAACUAAAUAGCAUUCCACUCACUCAAGGACUUAAUCAAAGUUUAAUGUCCAUACACACGGUAUUAACUUGAAUACAGGACCAUAUCAUACAGUCCCAUGAUUAAAAAACAACAGAGGCAAAAUGUGGUGAUCCAAAUAGGCAACUGUUUCCGGGGUUUGGCGCUAGAUGCAGUGCCAUUGAUUAUAUAAUUUAGGAAGCUUAGUAUGGCACAACCAA